rfam:Triticum aestivum genome assembly, contig: Triticum_aestivum_CS42_TGACv1_scaffold_177936_2DS
UUAGUACCCCCUCCGUCCGGAAAUACUUGUCAAAGAAAUGGAUGUAUGUAUCUAGAUGUAUUUUAGUUCUAGAUAUGUCCACUUUUAUCCAUUUCCGCGACAAGUAAUUCCAGACGGAGGGAGUAGCUG